GAUGAACGCUGGCGGCGUGCCUAAUACAUGCAAGUCGAGCGAACAGACGAGGAGCUUGCUCCUUUGACGUUAGCGGCGGACGGGUGAGUAACACGUAGGUAACCUACCUAUAAGACUGGGAUAACUUCGGGAAACCGGAGCUAAUACCGGAUAAUAUUUCGAACCGCAUGGUUCGAUAGUGAAAGAUGGCUUUGCUAUCACUUAUAGAUGGACCUGCGCCGUAUUAGCUAGUUGGUAAGGUAACGGUUUACCAAGGCAACGAUACGUAGCCGACCUGAGAGGGUGAUCGGCCACACUGGAACUGAGACACGGUCCAGACUCCUACGGGAGGCAGCAGUAGGGAAUCUUCCGCAAUGGGCGAAAGCCUGACGGAGCAACGCCGCGUGAGUGAUGAAGGUCUUCGGAUCGUAAAACUCUGUUAUUAGGGAAGAACAAACGUGUAAGUAACUGUGCACGUCUUGACGGUACCUAAUCAGAAAGCCACGGCUAACUACGUG
rnacentral:rRNA from 1 species